rnacentral:rRNA from 1 species
GGUUAAGUGACUAAGCGUACACGGUGGAUGCCUAGGCAGUCAGAGGCGAUGAAGGACGUGCUAAUCUGCGAUAAGCGUCGGUGAGCUGAUAUGAAGCAUUAUUAGCCGGCGAUGUCCGAAUGGGGAAACCCAGUGCAAUCCGUUGCACUAUCGUUAAGUGAAUACAUAGCUUAACGAGGCGAACCAGGGGAACUGAAACAUCUAAGUACCCUGAGGAAAAGAAAUCAACCGAGAUUCCCCUAGUAGCGGCGAGCGAACGGGGAAGAGCCCAGAACCUGAAUCAGUUUGUGCAUUAGUGGAAGCGUCUGGAAAGUCGCGCGAUACAGGGUGAUAGCCCCGUACACGAAGGUGCACAGCUGUGAGUUCGAUGAGUAGGGCGGGACACGUGUUAUCCUGUCUGAAUAUGGGGGACCAUCCUCCAAGGCUAAAUACUCCUGACUGACCGAUAGUGAACCAGUACCGUGAGGGAAAGGCGAAAAGAACCCCGGCGAGGGGAGUGAAAUAGAACCUGAAACCGUGUACGUACAAGCAGUGGGAGCAUCCUUCGGGGUGUGACUGCGUACCUUUUGUAUAAUGGGUCAGCGACUUAUAUUUUGUAGCAAGGUUAACCGAAUAGGGGAGCCGUAGGGAAACCGAGUCUUAACUGGGCGUCUAGUUGCAAGGUAUAGACCCGAAACCCGGUGAUCUAGCCAUGGGCAGGUUGAAGGUUGGGUAACACUAACUGGAGGACCGAACCGACUAAUGUUGAAAAAUUAGCGGAUGACUUGUGGCUGGGGGUGAAAGGCCAAUCAAACCGGGAGAUAGCUGGUUCUCCCCGAAAGCUAUUUAGGUAGCGCCUCGUGAACUCAUCUUCGGGGUAGAGCACUGUUUCGGCUAGGGGUCAUCCCGACUUACCAACCCGAUGCAAACUACGAAUACCGAAGAAUGUUAUCACGGGAGACACACGGCGGGUGCUAACGUCCGUCGUGAAGAGGGAAACAACCCAGACCGCCAGCUAAGGUCCCAAAGUCAUGGUUAAGUGGGAAACGAUGUGGGAAGGCAUAGACAGCCAGGAUGUUGGCUUAGAAGCAGCCAUCAUUUAAAGAAAGCGUAAUAGCUCACUGGUCGAGUCGGCCUGCGCGGAAGAUGUAACGGGGCUAAACCAUGCACCGAAGCUGCGGCAGCGACGCUUAGGCGUUGUUGGGUAGGGGAGCGUUCUGUAAGCCUGCGAAGGUGGCCUGUGAGGGCUGCUGGAGGUAUCAGAAGUGCGAAUGCUGACAUAAGUAACGAUAAAGCGGGUGAAAAGCCCGCUCGCCGGAAGACCAAGGGUUCCUGUCCAACGUUAAUCGGGGCAGGGUAAGUCGACCCCUAAGGCGAGGCUGAAAAGCGUAGUCGAUGGGAAACAGGUUAAUAUUCCUGUACUUGGUGUUAUUGCGAAGGGGGACGGAGAAGGCUAGACCGGCCGGGCGACGGUUGUCCCGGUUUAAGCGUGUAGGUGGGGUGACUUGGCAAAUCCGGUUACCUUUAACACUGAGGCGUGAUGACGAGGCACUACGGUGCUGAAGUGGUUAAUGCCCUGCUUCCAGGAAAAGCCUCUAAGCUCCAGAUAACACUGAAUCGUACCCCAAACCGACACAGGUGGUCAGGUAGAGAAUACCAAGGCGCUUGAGAGAACUCGGGUGAAGGAACUAGGCAAAAUGGUGCCGUAACUUCGGGAGAAGGCACGCUGGCACGUAGGUGAAGUCCCUCGCGGAUGGAGCCGAAGCCAGUCGAAGAUACCAGCUGGCUGCAACUGUUUAAUAAAAACACAGCACUCUGCAAACACGAAAGUGGACGUAUAGGGUGUGACGCCUGCCCGGUGCUGGAAGGUUAAUUGAUGGGGUCAGCCGCAAGGCGAAGCUCUUGAUCGAAGCCCCAGUAAACGGCGGCCGUAACUAUAACGGUCCUAAGGUAGCGAAAUUCCUUGUCGGGUAAGUUCCGACCUGCACGAAUGGCGUAAUGAUGGCCAGGCUGUCUCCACCCGAGACUCAGUGAAAUUGAACUCGCUGUGAAGAUGCAGUGUACCCGCGGCAAGACGGAAAGACCCCGUGAACCUUUACUAUAGCUUGACACUGAACAUUGAACCUUGAUGUGUAGGAUAGGUGGGAGGCUUUGAAGUGUGGACGCCAGUCUGCAUGGAGCCGACCUUGAAAUACCACCCUUUAAUGUUUGAUGUUCUAACCUGGUCCCGUGAUCCGGGAUAGGGACAGUGUCUGGUGGGUAGUUUGACUGGGGCGGUCUCCUCCCAAAGAGUAACGGAGGAGCACGAAGGUUAGCUAAUCCUGGUCGGACAUCAGGAGGUUAGUGCAAAGGCAUAAGCUAGCUUGACUGCGAGAGUGACGGCUCGAGCAGGUGCGAAAGCAGGUCUUAGUGAUCCGGUGGUUCUGAAUGGAAGGGCCAUCGCUCAACGGAUAAAAGGUACUCCGGGGAUAACAGGCUGAUACCGCCCAAGAGUUCAUAUCGACGGCGGUGUUUGGCACCUCGAUGUCGGCUCAUCACAUCCUGGGGCUGAAGUAGGUCCCAAGGGUAUGGCUGUUCGCCAUUUAAAGUGGUACGCGAGCUGGGUUUAGAACGUCGUGAGACAGUUCGGUCCCUAUCUGCCGUGGGCGUUGGAAGAUUGAGAGGGGCUGCUCCUAGUACGAGAGGACCGGAGUGGACGCACCGCUGGUGUUCGGGUUGUGAUGCCAAUUGCAUUGCCCGGUAGCUACGUGCGGAAAAGAUAAGCGCUGAAAGCAUCUAAGCGCGAAACUUGCCUCGAGAUGAGUCUUCCCUUGGACCUUGAGUCCACUAAAGGAACGUUUAAGACUAAGACGUUGAUAGGCUGGGUGUGUAAGCGUAGCGAUACGUUGAGCUAACCAGUACUAAUGAUCCGUGAGACUUAACCUU